AGGAGCCGUGCGAGAUGAAAGUCUCAUGCACGGUUUUGAAUGAGAGAAAGAAGUGAGGAAUCCUGAGGCUAGAAAUGCAUGGUCAUGUCCCUAUUUCUUUUUUCUUUCUGUUACUUCGAAAGUAGCUGCUUCGGCUUCAGGCACUCAAAUUUUCGAUAUUCCUUUUUAUUUCUCAU
rnacentral:ncRNA from 1 species